AGAGUUUGAUUCUGGCUCAGGACGAACGCUGGCGGUGCGCCUAAUGCAUGCAAGUCUACUACUUGUGACUUCGGUCACGCUAUGGUGGUGGCAGACGGCUUAGUAACACGUAAGUAAUCUACCCUCAAGUGGGGGAUAAUCCGAAGAAAUUCGGUCCAAUACCCCAUAAUAUUUUAAUAUAUAUGUAUUGAAAAGAAAGAUUUAUCGCUUUUGGAGGAGCUUGCGGCCUAUCAGGUAGUUGGUAAGGGUAAUGGCCUACCAAGCCAAAGACGGGUAACCGAAGUGAGAGCUUGAUCGGUAAGAGGGGGACUGAGACACGGCCCCCACUCCUACGGGAGGCAGCAGCAGGGAAUCUUGCGCAAUGGACUGUAUGGUCUGACGCAGCGACACCGCGUGGAGGAUGAAUGCUUUAGGGUUGUAAACUCCUUUUCUUAGGGAAGAUGAUGACGGUACCUAAGGAAUAAGCAUCGGCUAACUACGUGCCAGCAGCCGCGGUAAUACGUAGGAUGCGAGCGUUGUCCGGAAUUAUUGGGCGUAAAGGGCGUCUAGGUUGACUAAUAAGUCCUGUGUGAAAUCUCUUGGCUCAACCAAGAAAUGUCACAGGAAACUAUUAAUCUAGAGGUCAUCAGAGGUAAGUGGAAUUCACGGAGUAGUGGUGAAAUGCGUAGAUACCGUGAGGAACACCAGAGGCGAAAGCGGCUUACUAGGAUGAACCUGACACUAAAGCGCGAAAGCGUGGGUAGCAAACCGGAUUAGAUACCCGGGUAGUCCACGCCAUAAACGAUGGAUACUAGUUAUGGGAGGCAUUGACCCAUCUGUAACGAAGCUAACGCAUUAAGUAUCCCGCCUGGGGAGUACGGCCGCAAGGUUAAAACUCAAAGAAAUUGAC
rnacentral:rRNA from 1 species